CCUACGGGUGGCUGCAGUGGGGAAUAUUGCACAAUGGGGGAAACCCUGAUGCAGCGAAGCCGCGUGAGUGAAGAAGUAUUUCGGUAUGUAAAGCUCUAUUAGCAGGGAAGAAAAUGACGGUACCUGACUAAGAAGCCCCGUCUAACUACGUGCCAGCAGCCGCGGUAAUACGGAGGGGGCAAGUGUUAUCCGGAUUUACUGGGUGUAAAGGGAGCGUAGGUGGGAUGGUAAGCCAGAAGUGAAAACCCAGGGCUCAACUCUGUGGAUUGCUGUUGGAACUAUCAAGCUAGAGUGCUGGAGGGGUAAGCGGAAUUCGUGGUGUAGCGGUGAAAUGCGUAGAUAUUAGGAGGAACGCCGAUGGCGAAGGCAGCUUACUGGACAGAAACUGACGCUGAGGCUCGAAAGCGUGGGGAGCAAACAGGAUUAGAUACCCUGGUAGUC
rnacentral:rRNA from 1 species